rnacentral:rRNA from 1 species
AUUGAACGCUGGCGGCAGGCCUAACACAUGCAAGUCGAGCGGAUGAAGGGAGCUUGCUCCUGGAUUCAGCGGCGGACGGGUGAGUAAUGCCUAGGAAUCUGCCUGGUAGUGGGGGAUAACGUCCGGAAACGGGCGCUAAUACCGCAUACGUCCUGAGGGAGAAAGUGGGGGAUCUUCGGACCUCACGCUAUCAGAUGAGCCUAGGUCGGAUUAGCUAGUUGGUGGGGUAAAGGCCUACCAAGGCGACGAUCCGUAACUGGUCUGAGAGGAUGAUCAGUCACACUGGAACUGAGACACGGUCCAGACUCCUACAGGAGGCAGAAGUGGGGAAUAUUGGACAAUGGGCGAAAGCCUGUAACAGCCAUGCCGCGUGUGUGAAGAAGUUCUUCGGAUUGUAAAGCACUUUAAGUUGGGAGGAAGGACAGUAAGUUAAUACCUUGCUGUUUUGACGUUACCAACAGAAUAAGCACCGGCUAACUUCGUG